rnacentral:tRNA from 2 species
GCCGGGAUAGCAUAGAGGUUAUGCGGCGGCCUGCAGAGCCGUUUCACGGGGGUUCGAAUCCCCCUCCCGGCU